rnacentral:misc_RNA from 1 species
UGGAGAGAGUGAUUUUCUGUGGCUGGAUGAGCAGGAGGGAGUUGGUGGCAGGAACCUGUCACAGGAUUGCAUAAAAUUAAGUCACCUGAUUCAUUGCGGAAGCAGACUAAGUGCCACAGGCAUCAAGUCAGAGUUUGAGCUUUGCUGGAGGAAAGGUGGAUGAUUGAGUUUAUUCCAGCUUCUUUCAGCAGAGUCAAAGAUGGUCCACUUG